rnacentral:rRNA from 1 species
UUUUGUAUAAUGGGUCAGCGACUUAUAUUCUGUAGCAAGGUUAACCGAAUAGGGGAGCCGAAGGGAAACCGAGUCUUAACUGGGCGUUAAGUUGCAGGGUAUAGACCCGAAACCCGGUGAUCUAGCCAUGGGCAGGUUGAAGGUUGGGUAACACUAACUGGAGGACCGAACCGACUAAUGUUGAAAAAUUAGCGGAUGACUUGUGGCUGGGGGUGAAAGGCCAAUCAAACCGGGAGAUAGCUGGUUCUCCCCGAAAGCUAUUUAGGUAGCGCCUCGUGAAUUCAUCUCCGGGGGUAGAGCACUGUUUCGGCAAGGGGGUCAUCCCGACUUACCAACCCGAUGCAAACUGCGAAUACCGGAGAAUGUUAUCACGGGAGACACACGGCGGGUGCUAACGUCCGUCGUGAAGAGGGAAACAACCCAGACCGCCAGCUAAGGUCCCAAAGUCAUGGUUAAGUGGGAAACGAUGUGGGAAGGCCCAGACAGCCAGGAUGUUGGCUUAGAAGCAGCCAUCAUUUAAAGAAAGCGUAAUAGCUCACUGGUCGAGUCGGCCUGCGCGGAAGAUGUAACGGGGCUAAACCAUGCACCGAAGCUGCGGCAGCGACACUAUGUGUUGUUGGGUAGGGGAGCGUUCUGUAAGCCUGUGAAGGUGUGCUGUGAGGUAUGCUGGAGGUAUCAGAAGUGCGAAUGCUGACAUAAGUAACGAUAAAGCGGGUGAAAAGCCCGCUCGCCGGAAGACCAAGGGUUCCUGUCCAACGUUAAUCGGGGCAGGGUGAGUCGACCCCUAAGGCGAGGCCGAAAGGCGUAGUCGAUGGGAAACAGGUUAAUAUUCCUGUACUUGGUGUUACUGCGAAGGGGGGACGGAGAAGGCUAUGUUGGCCGGGCGACGGUUGUCCCGGUUUAAGCGUGUAGGCUGGUUUUCCAGGCAAAUCCGGAAAAUCAAGGCUGAGGCGUGAUGACGAGGCACUACGGUGCUGAAGCAACAAAUGCCCUGCUUCCAGGAAAAGCCUCUAAGCAUCAGGUAACAUCAAAUCGUACCCCAAACCGACACAGGUGGUCAGGUAGAGAAUACCAAGGCGCUUGAGAGAACUCGGGUGAAGGAACUAGGCAAAAUGGUGCCGUAACUUCGGGAGAAGGCACGCUGAUAUGUAGGUGAAGUCCCUUGCGGAUGGAGCUGAAAUCAGUCGAAGAUACCAGCUGGCUGCAACUGUUUAUUAAAAACACAGCACUGUGCAAACACGAAAGUGGACGUAUACGGUGUGACGCCUGCCCGGUGCCGGAAGGUUAAUUGAUGGGGUUAGCGGUAACGCGAAGCUCUUGAUCGAAGCCCCGGUAAACGGCGGCCGUAACUAUAACGGUCCUAAGGUAGCGAAAUUCCUUGUCGGGUAAGUUCCGACCUGCACGAAUGGCGUAAUGAUGGCCAGGCUGUCUCCACCCGAGACUCAGUGAAAUUGAACUCGCUGUGAAGAUGCAGUGUACCCGCGGCAAGACGGAAAGACCCCGUGAACCUUUACUAUAGCUUGACACUGAACAUUGAGCCUUGAUGUGUAGGAUAGGUGGGAGGCUUUGAAGUGUGGACGCCAGUCUGCAUGGAGCCGACCUUGAAAUACCACCCUUUAAUGUUU